rnacentral:rRNA from 1 species
UACGUAGGUGGUUUGUUAAGUUGGAUGUGAAAGCCCUGGGCUUAACCUGGGAACUGCAUUCAAAACUGGCAGACUUGAGUUUGGCAGAGGCUAGUGGAAUUCCAGGUGUAGCGGUGAAAUGCGUAGAGAUCUGGAGGAACAUCAGUGGCGAAGGCGACUGGCUGGGCUAAAACUGACACUGAAGUACGAAAGCGUGGGGAGCAAACAGGAUUAGAUACCCUGGUAGUCC